rnacentral:rRNA from 1 species
GACGAACGCUGGCGGCGUGCUUAACACAUGCAAGUCGAACGGUAAGGCCCUUCGGGGUACACGAGUGGCGAACGGGUGAGAAACACGUGGGUGAUCUGCCCUGCACUUCGGGAUAAGCCUGGGAAACUGGGUCUAAUACCGGAUAGGACUCCGGACUGCAUGGUCUGGGGUGGAAAGCUUUUGCGGUGUGGGAUGGGCCCGCGGCCUAUCAGCUUGUUGGUGGGGUGAUGGCCUACCACGGCGACGACGGGUAGCCGGCCUGAGCGGGUGACCGGCCAAUCUGGGACUGAGGAGCGUCCCAGACUACAACGGGAGGCAGCAGUGGGUAAUAUUGCACAAUGGGCUGAAGCCUGAUGCAGGGACGCCGCGUGAGGGAUGACGGCCUUCUGGUUGUAAACCUCUUUCAGCAUCGACGAAGCGAAAGUGACGGUAGGUGCAGAAGAAGGACCGGCCAACUACGUGCCAGCCGCCGCCGUAA